GACGUAGGGGCCAGCGUUGUUCGGAAUUACUGGGUGUAAAGGGUUCGUAGGCGGUGUGGCAAGUCGGGAGUGAAAUCUCGGGGCUUAACUCCGAAACUGCAUUCGAUACUGCCGUGCUUGAGGACUGGAGAGGAGACUGGAAUUUACGGUGUAGCGGUGAAAUGCGUAGAUAUCGUAAGGAAGACCAGUGGCGAAGGCGGGUCUCUGGACAGUUCCUGACGCUGAGGCACGAAGGCCAGGGGAGCAAACAGG
rnacentral:rRNA from 1 species